rnacentral:rRNA from 1 species
AACGAACGCUGGCGGCGUGUCUUAAGCAUGCAAGUCGAGCGGCAAGGAAGUGCUUGCACUUCCCUAGAGCGGCGGACUGGUGAGUAACGCGUGGAUGAUCUGCCCUUUGGUUGGGGAUAGCCAUUAGAAAUAGUGGGUAAUACCGAAUACGUUCGCAUAACUACGGUUAUGCGAGGAAAGGCGCUACGGCGCCGCCGGAGGAUGAGUCCGCGUCCCAUUAGCUAGUUGGUGGGGUAAAAGCCUACCAAGGCGAUGAUGGGUAGCCGGCCUGAGAGGGUGUACGGCCACACUGGGACUGAGAUACGGCCCAGACUCCUACGGGAGGCAGCAGCUAAGAAUAUUCCGCAAUGGACGAAAGUCUGACGGAGCGACGCCGCGUGGAUGAGGAAGGCCGGAAGGUUGUAAAAUACCUUUUGUCGGGGAAGGAAUAAGCGUGGGAGGGAAGUGCCCGCGUGAUGACAUGAACCGGCGAAUAAGCCCCGGCUAACUACGUGCCAGCAGCCGCGGU